rnacentral:rRNA from 1 species
AACGAACGCUGGCGGCAGGCUUAACACAUGCAAGUCGAACGCGUGCAGCAAUGCACGAGUGGCGCACGGGUGUGUAACGCGUGGAUAUCUGCCUUUUGGUUCGGAAUAACCCCGGGAAACUGGGGCUAAUACCGGAUGGUUCCUACGGGAUAAAGAUUUAUCGCCAAAAGAUGAGUCCGCGUCCGAUUAGCUAGUUGGUGAGGUAAUGGCUCACCAAGGCGACGAUCGGUAGCUGGUCUGAGAGGACGAUCAGCCACACUGGGACUGAGACACGGCCCAGACUCCUACGGGAGGCAGCAGUGGGGAAUAUUGGACAAUGGGGGCAACCCUGAUCCAGCCAUGCCGCGUGAGUGAUGAAGGCCUUCGGGUUGUAAAGCUCUUUUGGCGGGGACGAUGAUGACGGUACCCGCAGAAUAAGCCCCGGCUAACUUCGUG